rnacentral:sRNA from 1 species
AUGCGGGGCCAGGGCCGCAAGGAGAGUUUGUCCGAUUCCCGAGACCUGGACGGCUCCUACGAUCAGCUCACGGGCCACCCUCCAGGGCCCACUAAAAAAGCGCUGAAGCAGCGAUUCCUCAAGCUGCUGCCGUGCUGCGGGCCCCAAGCCCUGCCCUCAGUCAGUGAAAACAGCGUGGAGGAUGAAUUUGAAUUGUCCACCGUGUGUCACCGGCCUGAGGGACUGGAGCAGCUGCAGGAGCAAACCAAAUUCACGCGCAAGGAGUUGCAGGUCCUGUACCGGGGCUUCAAGAACAAGUCUUGCCUCCCAUCACAUGAGCCACGUGGAAUGUCCCAGCGGAAUUGUCAAUGAGGAGAACUUCAAGCAGAUUUACUCCCAGUUCUUUCCUCAAGGAGACUCCAGCACCUAUGCCACUUUCCUCUUCAAUGCCUUUGACACCAACCAUGAUGGCUCGGUCAGUUUUGAGGACUUUGUGGCUGGUUUGUCCGUGAUUCUUCGGGGAACUGUAGAUGACAGGCUUAAUUGGGCCUUCAACCUGUAUGACCUUAACAAGGACGGCUGCAUCACCAAGGAGGAAAUGCUUGACAUCAUGAAGUCCAUCUAUGACAUGAUGGGCAAGUACACGUACCCUGCACUCCGGGAGGAGGCCCCAAGGGAACACGUGGAGAGCUUCUUCCAGAAGAUGGACAGAAACAAGGAUGGUGUGGUGACCAUUGAGGAAUUCAUGGAGUCUUGUCAAAAGGAUGAGAACAUCAUGAGGUCCAUGCAGCUCUUUGACAAUGUCAUCUAGCCCCCAGGAGAGGGGGUCAGUGUUUCCUGGGGGGACCAUGCUCUAACCCUAGUCCAG